rnacentral:rRNA from 1 species
AUUGAACGCUGGCGGCAUGCCUUACACAUGCAAGUCGAACGGUAACAGGUCUUCGGAUGCUGACGAGUGGCGAACGGGUGAGUAAUACAUCGGAACGUGCCUAGUAGUGGGGGAUAACUACUCGAAAGAGUGGCUAAUACCGCAUGAGAUCUACGGAUGAAAGCAGGGGAUCGCAAGACCUUGUGCUACUAGAGCGGCCGAUGGCAGAUUAGGUAGUUGGUGGGAUAAAAGCUUACCAAGCCGACGAUCUGUAGCUGGUCUAAGAGGACGAUCAGCCACACUGGGACUGAAAAACGGCCCAGACUCCUACGGGAGGCAGCAGUGGGGAAUUUUGGACAAUGGGCGCAAGCCUGAUCCAGCAAUGCCGCGUGCAGGAUGAAGGCCUUCGGGUUGUAAACUGCUUUUGUACGGAACGAAAAGCCCCGGGUUAAUACCCUGGGGUCAUGACGGUAUCGUAAGAAUAAGCACCGGCUAACUACGUGCCAGCCGCCGCAGUAA